rnacentral:rRNA from 1 species
AUUGAACGCUGGCGGCAGGCAUAACACAUGCAAGUCGAACGGUAACAGGAAGAAGCUUGCUUCUUUGCUGACGAGUGGCGGACGGGUGAGUAAUGUCUGGGAAACUGCCUGAUGGAGGGGGAUAACUACUGGAAACGGUAGCUAAUACCGCAUAACGUCGCAAGACCAAAGAGGGGGACCUUCGGGCCUCUUGCCAUCGGAUGUGCCCAGAUGGGAUUAGCUAGUAGGUGGGGUAACGGCUCACCUAGGCGACGAUCCCUAGCUGGUCUGAGAGGAUGACCAGCCACACUGGAACUGAGACACGGUCCAGACUCCUACGGGAGGCAGCAGUGGGGAAUAUUGCACAAUGGGCGCAAGCCUGAUGCAGCCAUGCCGCGUGUAUGAAGAAGGCCUUCGGGUUGUAAAGUACUUUCAGCGGGGAGGAAGGGAGUAAAGUUAAUACCUUUGCUCAUUGACGUUACCCGCAGAAGAAGCACCGGCUAACUCCGUG